rnacentral:tRNA from 1 species
UCCCUGGUGGCUCAGUGGUAAAGUAUCUGCCUGCUAAUGCAGGAAACGCAGGUUCGAUUUCUGCGCUGGGAA